rnacentral:rRNA from 1 species
UUGAUUCAUGGCUCAGAUUGAACGCUGGCGGCAGGCCUAACACAUGCAAGUCGAGCGGCAGCACGGGUACUUGUACCUGGUGGCGAGCGGCGGACGGGUGAGUAAUGCCUAGGAAUCUGCCUGGUAGUGGGGGAUAACGCUCGGAAACGGACGCUAAUACCGCAUACGUCCUACGGGAGAAAGCAGGGGACCUUCGGGCCUUGCGCUAUCAGAUGAGCCUAGGUCGGAUUAGCUAGUUGGUGAGGUAAUGGCUCACCAAGGCGACGAUCCGUAACUGGUCUGAGAGGAUGAUCAGUCACACUGGAACUGAGACACGGUCCAGACUCCUACGGGAGGCAGCAGUGGGGAAUAUUGGACAAUGGGCGAAAGCCUGAUCCAGCCAUGCCGCGUGUGUGAAGAAGGUCUUCGGAUUGUAAAGCACUUUAAGUUGGGAGGAAGGGCAGUUACCUAAUACGUAUCUGUUUUGACGUUACCGACAGAAUAAGCACCGGC